CCGAGAGAGGGUGCCUCGCGCGCCCGACCUCCCAACCCUCUGUCGACCGUACCGCGUUGCCUCGGGGUGGCCCUCACGGGCGCCCCGGAGGACCUCAAUCAAAACUCUGCGUCCCUGCGUCGGAGUCUCAUGAUGAAUCAAUCA
rnacentral:misc_RNA from 1 species